rnacentral:rRNA from 1 species
UACGUAGGGUGCAAGCGUUAAUCGGAAUUACUGGGCGUAAAGCGUGCGCAGGCGGUUAUGUAAGACAGUUGUGAAAUCCCCGGGCUCAACCUGGGAACUGCAUCUGUGACUGCAUAGCUAGAGUACGGUAGAGGGGAUGGAAUUCCGCGUGUAGCAGUGAAAUGCGUAGAUAUGACGGAGGAACACCGAUGGCGAAGGCAAUCCCCUGGACCUGUACUGACGCUCAUGCACGAAAGCGUGGGGAGCAAACAGG